rnacentral:rRNA from 1 species
GGAGGGGGGCGAGCGUUGUUCGGAAUUAUUGGGCGUAAAGGGCGUGUAGGCGGCCUCAUUAGUCAGAUGUGAAAGCCCUUGGGCUUAACCAAGGAAUUGCAUCUGAUACUGCGAGGCUUGAAUCCGGGAGGGGAGAGUGGAAUUCCCAGUGUAGCGGUGAAAUGCGUAGAUAUUGGGAGGAACACCAGUGGCGAAGGCGGCUCUCUGGACCGGUAUUGACGCUGAUACGCGAAAGCUAGGGGAGCGAACGGGAUUAGAUACCCCGGUAGUCCUAGCUGUAAACGUUGGGCACUUGGUGUGGCGGGUAUCGACCCCUGCCGUGCCGAAGCUAACGCAUUAAGUGCCCCGCCUGGGGAGUACGGUCGCAAAGGCUG